CCCAGCUGGGGACUCUGAGAAAAGAUCUCCUUGCGGGGUUCGAUUCCCGCGAUCCGCC
rnacentral:tRNA from 1 species